rnacentral:tRNA from 1 species
GAUUGAUUAGUUUAAAAAAAACAAAUGUUUUGAAAACAUUAGAUAGAAUUUAAUUUUCUAUUAAUCU